CUGGAAAUCUGCAGAUUUGAGAAAUUUGUAACUGUCCUGAUUUUGUGAAUUUUUUUUUGAGGCAGUUCCUAAGCUCGAAAAAUUAUGAGAUUUUUACUGAGAGUUCCUCUAUGAGUCUUCUAUCUAUGGUAAAAAUUUCGGGAUCAGAAUCAAAGUAUUGAAUUCUGUAAAAAUCCGUGACCUUGCAGCACUCAUUUUCGGAACUGUGCUGACUGCACAGACACAUGUUACGGAAACGGUCAUAUUUUUUAGCUCGAGCGAUGAAAUUGUGAUCCGAUUUCUGAUUUUGAAACUAGAUUCAUAGACCUUAAAAAGUAUGUGGAGUUUGUACCUUAGUUAUUUCUGUGCGAAGUCAGAUUUUAAGUUGAAGUUGAUGAAAUUGCAGAUUCUGAAAUUUUUCUUGAGAUUUGGUUGUUUAACUUCAUAUGUCUACCUUAGGACCUUAUAUUCAUAAAAAUAGGCUUAUUUAGCAUCUUCUAAUCAUGUUCUUAUUGCCUAAUUGUUUUAGGAAGCUCGGGUGGUUCGUAGAGCCGAGGUGAGUGAUUUAAUACCUAAACACAUGGUUUUGAAGCUGUUUUCCUUAUCGAGCUUAUUUGAACAUGUUUUAUAAAUUAUGUACUCCAUGGAUAACAAUGAAAGGUGGACCUAUUUGUGAAGUAUUUGCGAAUCUAUUUAAUGGCAUUCCCGACGUCCGGUCUUGCUAGGGGACGGCUUAAUGGCUAGCAAGGGUGUUUGAGGUUGGUGUGUGUUUUGGGAUAAUGCAUAGACUGGCGUGGUGUUUACUUUUGGAAUGUGUUGUAUUUUUGGAAACUUAUAGAAAGGAAGUUAUGCUUGUAGGCACUUAGCUUUGUACAUGGUUUGUUAGCUUUUGAGUUUGUAAGUAAGCACAACUCUGAGUGGUAUACCUUUUGGUUUGUAAAACCUAAGUAAUACUUUGGUUCGUUAUCGAGAAAAGUCGUCUUUUGCUUC